rnacentral:tRNA from 1 species
GGCUGUAUAGCUCAGUGGUAGAGCACUGGCCUAGUAUGUAUGAGAUCCUGGGUUCAAUCUCCAGCACUGCAA